GACGAACGCUGGCGGCGUGCUUAACACAUGCAAGUCGAACGGAAAGGCCCUGCUUUUGUGGGGUGCUCGAGUGGCGAACGGGUGAGUAACACGUGAGUAACCUGCCCUUGACUUUGGGAUAACUUCAGGAAACUGGGGCUAAUACCGGAUAGGAGCUCCUGCUGCAUGGUGGGGGUUGGAAAGUUUCGGCGGUUGGGGAUGGACUCGCGGCUUAUCAGCUUGUUGGUGGGGUAGUGGCUUACCAAGGCUUUGACGGGUAGCCGGCCUGAGAGGGUGACCGGCAAGAAGGGAGGGAUGGUCGGGACGGAACUCAAGCGGGAGGCAGAGGGGGGGGGUAUUGAAGGAGGGGCGGAACGCUAGAACACGAACGCCGCGGGAGGGAGAACGGCCUAGGGGUUGGAAGCUCAUUACACCGGGGAGAAUGCGGGAGUGGCGGUAAGGGGAGAAAAGAACCCGCUUACCAAGGAC
rnacentral:rRNA from 1 species